rnacentral:tRNA from 4 species
CCGGAAUAGCUCAGUUGGUAGAGCAGAGGACUGAAAAUCCUCGUGUCACC